rnacentral:rRNA from 1 species
GACGAACGCUGGCGGCGUGCUUAACACAUGCAAGUCGAACGAUGAACCGGAGCUUGCUCUGGGGAUUAGUGGCGAACGGGUGAGUAACACGUGGGCAGCCUGCCCCAGACACCGGGAUAACCAUUCGAAAGGAUGGCUAAUACCGGAUACGACCACUUCGGGCAUCCGAUGGUGGUGGAAAGGAUUCUGGUCUGGGAUGGGCCCGCGGCCUAUCAGCUUGUUGGUGGGGUAAUGGCCUACCAAGGCGACGACGGGUAGCCGGCCUGAGAGGGCGACCGGCCACACUGGGACUGAGACACGGCCCAGACUCCUACGGGAGGCAGCAGUGGGGAAUAUUGCGCAAUGGGCGAAAGCCUGACGCAGCGACGCCGCGUGAGGGACGAAGGUCUUCGGAUUGUAAACCUCUUUCAGCAGGGAUGAAGCGAAAGUGACGGUACCUGACUAAGAAGCCCCGGCUAACUACGUGCCAGCAGCCGCCGUAAUAC